rnacentral:lncRNA from 1 species
CCAAGAUAAUCUAAGGACACCCAAAAGCCAAAGCUUGGGGAUGCCCCGGAAGGCAUCCCCUCUUUCGUCUACUUCCAUCGGUAACUUUACUUGGAGCUUUAUUUUAUUCACCACAUGAUAUGUGUUUUUCUUGGAGCGUCUUGUAUGAUUUGAGUCUUUGCUUUUUAGUUUACCACAAUCAUGUUUGCUGUACACACCUUUUGAGAGAGACACACGUGAUUCGGAAAUUAUUAGAAUACUCUAUGUGCUUCACUUAUAUCUUUUGAGUUAUAUAGUUUUUUGCUCUAGUACUUCACUUAUAUCUUUUAGAGCAUGGUGGUGGUUUUGUUUUAUAGAAACUAUUAUUCUCUGAUGCUUCACUUAGAUUAUUUUGAGUGUCUUAAACAGCAUGGUAAUUUUCUUAAAUAAUCCUAAUAUGCUAGGUAUUCAAGACUAGUAAAAACUUUCUUAUGAGUGUGUUGAAUACUAAGAGAAGUUUGAUGCUUGAUGAUUGUUUUGAGACAUGGAGGUAGUGAUAUCAAAGUUGUGCUAGUUGAGUAGUUGUGAAUUUGAGAAAUACUUUUAUUGAAGCUUGCAAGUCCCGUAGCAUGCACGUAUGGUAAACGUUAUGUAAAAAAUUUGAAACAUGAGGUGUUCUUUGAGUGUCCUCCUUAUGAGUGGCGGUCGGGGACGAGCGAUGGUCUUUUCCUACCAAUCUACCCCCCUAGGAGCAUGCGCGUAAUGCUUGGUUUUUGAUGACUUGUAGAUUUUUGCAAUAAGUAUGUGAGUUCUUUAUGACUAAUGUUGAGUCCAUGGAUUACACGCACUCUCACCUUUCCACCAUUGCUAGCCUCUUCGGUACUAUGCAUUGCCCUUUCUCACAUUGAGAGUUGGUGCAAACUUCGCCGGUGCAUCCAAACCCCGUGAUAUGAUACGCUCUUUCACACAUAAACCUCCCUAUAUCUUCCUCAAAACAGCCACCAUACCUACCUAUUAUGGCAUUUCCAUAGCCAUUCCGAGAUAUAUUGCCAUGCAACUUUCCACCAUUCCAUUUAUCAUGACACGUUCAUCAUUUUCAUAUUGCUUUGCAUGAUGAUGUAGUUGACAUAGUAUUUGUGGCAAAGCCACCAUUCAUAAUUCUUUCAUACAUGUCACUCUUGGUUCAUUGCAUAUCCCGGUACACUGUCGGAGGCAUUCAUAUAGAGUCAUACUUUGUUCUAGUACCGAGUUGUAAUCUUUGAGUUGUAAAUAAAUAGAAGUGUGAUGAUCAUCAUUAAUAGAGCAUUGUCCCCCCAAAAAAAGAAAGGCCUAAUAAAAAAAGGGAAGGCCCAAAAAAAGAAAUAAAAGGGACAAUGCUACUAUCCUUUUUCCACACUUGUGCUUCAAAGUAGCACCAUGAUCUUCAUAAUAGAGAGUCUCUUGUUUUGUCACUUUCAUAUACUAGUGGGAAUUUUUCAUUAUAGAACUUGGCUUGUAUAUUCCAACAAUGGGCCUCCUCAAGUGCCCUAGGUCUUCGUGAGCAAGCAAGUUGGAUGCACGCCCACUUAGUUUCUUUUGUUGAGCUUUCAUAUAUUUAUAGCUCUAGUGCAUCCGUUGCAUGGCAAUCCCUACUCCUUGCAUUAACAUCAAUCGAUGGGAAUCUCCAUAGCUCAUUGAUUAGCCUCGUUGAUCUGAGACUUUCUCCCUUUUUUGUCUUCUCCACAUAACCCCCAUCAUUAUAUUCUAUUCCACCCAUAGUGCUAUAUCCAUGGCUCACGCUCAUGUAUUGCGUGAAAGUUGAAAAGGUUUGAGAUUACUAAAGUAUGAAACAAUUGCUUGGCUUGUCAUCGGGGUUGUGCAUGAUGAGAGCAUUCUUGUGUGACAAAAAUGGAGCAUGACUAAACUAUAUGAUUUUGUAGGGAUGAACUUCCUUUGGCCAUGUUAUUUUGAGAAGACAUAAUUGCUUAGUUAGUAUGCUUGAAGUAUUAUUAUUUUUAUGUCAAUAUUGAACUUUUAUCUUGAAUCUUUCGGAUCUGAAUAUUCAUACCACAAUUAAGAAGAAUUACAUUGAAAUUAUGCCAAGUAGCAUUCCACAUAAAAAAUUCUGUUUUUUAUCAUUUACCUACUCGAGGACGAGCAGGAAUUAAGCUUGGGGAUGCUUGAUACGUCUCCAACGUAUCUAUAGUUUUUGAUUGCUCCAUGCUAUAUUAUAUUCUGUUUUGGACAUUAUUGGGCUUUAUUAUACACUUUUAUAUUAUUUUUGGGACUAACCUAUUAACCGGAGGCCCAGCCCAGUAUUGCUGUUUUUUGCCUAUUUCAGAGUUUCGCAGAAAAAGAAUAUCAAACGGGGUCCAAACGGAAUGAAACAUUCGGGAACGUGAUUUCCGGAACGAAUGUGAUCCAGAGGACUUGGACCCUACGUCAAGACAUCAACCAGGAGGGCACGAGGUAGGGGGGCGUGCCUACCCCCCAGGGCGCGCCCUCCACCCUCGUGGGCCCCUGUUGCUCCACCGACAUACUCCUUCCUCCUAUAUAUACCUACGUACCCCCAAACUACCAGAUACGGAGCCAAAACCCUAAUUCCACCGCCGCAACCUUCUGUACCCGUGAGAUCCCAUCAUGGGGCCUGUUCCGGAGCUCCGCUGGAGGGGGCAUCGAUCAUGGAGGGCUUCUACAUCAACACCAUAGCCUCUCCGAUGAUGUGUGAGUAGUUUACCUCAGACCUUCGGGUCCAUAGUUAUUAGCUAGAUGGCUUCUUCUCUCUUUUUGGAUCUCAAUACAAUGUUCUCCCCCUCUCUCGUGGAGAUCUAUUCGAUGUAAUCUUCUUUUGCGGUGUGUUUGUUGAGACCGAUGAAUUGUGGGUUUAUGAUCAAGUUUAUAUAUGAACAAUAUUUGAAUCUUCUCUGGAUUCUUUUAUGUAUGAUUGGUUAUCUUUGCAAGUCUCUUAGAAUUAUCAGUUUGGUUUGGCCUACUAGAUUGAUCUUUCUUGCAAUGGGAGAAGUGCUUUGCUUUGGGUUCAAUCUUGUGGUGUCCUUUCCCAGUGACAGUAGGGGCAGCAAGACACGUAUUGUAUUGUUGCCAUCGAGGAUAACAAGAUGGGGUUUAUAUCAUAUUGCAUGAGUUUAUCCCUCUACAUCAUGUCAUCUUGCUUAAAGCAUUACUCUUUUCUUAUGAACUUAAUACUCUAGAUGCAUGCUGGAUAGCGGUCGAUGUGUGGAGUAAUAGUAGUAGAUGCAGGCAGGAGUCGGUCUACUUGUCUCGGACGUUAUGCCUAUAUACAUGAUCAUACCUAGAUAUUCUCAUAACUAUGCUCAAUUCUGUCAAUUGCUCAACAGUAAUUUGUUCACCCACCGUAAAUACUUAUGCUCUUGAGAGAAGCCAUUAGUGAAACCUAUGGCCCCAGGGUCUAUUUUCCAUCAUAUUAAUCUUCCAACACUUAGCUAUUUUUAUUGCCUUUUAUUUUACUUUGCAUCUUUAUCAUAAAAAUACCAAAAAUAUUAUCUUAUCAUAUCUCACUCUCGGAAGUGACCGUGUAGAGAUUGACAACCCCUUAUCAUGUUGGUUGCGAGGAUUUAUUUGUUUGUGUAGGUGCGAGGGACUCGUGCGUGGCCUCCUAAUGGAUUGAUACCUUGGUUCUCAAAAACUGAGGGAAAUACUAACGCUGCUUUACUGCAUCACCCAUUCCUCUUCAAGGGAAAACCAACGCAGUGCUCAAGAGGUAGCAGUCUCCUUCCAUAACUUUCCAAUUACGAGUACGUGAAUUGAAAGACAUGAAAAUUCUAAAUUCUCUACGGCGUCUAGUAGAUAGAAACAAGAAAAUCUGAAGAGUCUUUCUCUCUAUUCACUAUCAUUUCGCGUCUUCGACUUCUAUUAGUUUCUUUUCUUAUUUAAUGCAAUAGUUAUAGUUUGAUAUAAGAAUCCAUUUCUCAAAGUAAUGGAAACCAUUCUCUUAUAGGAAAUGGUUCGAAAAUCGCUAUUCCACCUUUUAGGUAUCGUGAAAAGUGAUACCUGUGAAGAUCGUGCAUUUCAGUCAAAUUCAGAUCCGUUUUUCGAGUCCAUGAUAUAAUAUAACCAAAUUGGAUAGAUCUUCCACCUGUUUAGCUAAGAAAGAAUAGAUACAGAGGUGGAUAAUAGAUCGACAGGAAGAUCAUGAGCUACCCCAUAAUGAAAUCGCCAGUAGUCGCGAAUAUCUCCUUCUUCCCUAAUCCAAGAUUGGAGAAAGAAGAUCUAAGAGGGACCUAUGGAGAAUGUAGUCAGAAAUCCAUAAUAGAGUCCGACCACAACGACCGAAUUAAUUAUCCUCAUCGAGAAACUUAGACUACUAAAUAGAAAAGAUUUGAAAAUCAUGGCAUGGGUCUCCUUUUUUCUUUCUUUAGAGUUUUCUAUAUGCACAAUUUCUCGAUGUUUCGAUGAGAAUUUCUUGACUUUCCAUAUAUAGAAAGAGAUAGACUAUAAAUGACAUCUCUUAUGUCAAUAAGACCAAAGGGAUGGAUAUUAAAUGAUAGGAAGUGCUUGGAAGUGAAAUAGAAUGAAAUAGAGCCACUUUGGGCUUCCCUAUGAAAUGAGGCAUGGAACGGAGCCACUACGAAGAAAUUAUGGGAGUUAUGAAAGAAGCUUCGGACUCAUAUUGUUCAUGGGUUGAGAGCGGGAGUUGAACGCUAGGAGGUCGAAUCCCCCCUUGUUCCUCAGUAGCUCAGUGGUAGAGCGGUCGGCUGUUAAUUGACUGGUCGUAGGUUUGAAUACCUUUCUUGACUCAAAGAAGUUCUCUACGAGGAACUUUGUACCAUGCACAUUACUUAGCACAACUAGGAAAAUAAGAUAAGAUAAAGAUAAGCAAGACUAAAAAAAUAUUCGUCGGAAUAGCGGAAUACGAAAUUAAGAAACGCAAAAAAAAUAAAGGGGAAUCUCACCCCCUUAUUUAUCAUAAAGAAAAGAUAUAUUUUAAAACUUCUUUAAAAAGAAAAAGAAGUGCCUCUAUAUUUAUAUUAUAGAUAUAUCCACUUAGAUGAAUAAAUAUUAUUAAUGAAUAUGUAUCACAAUCCAUCUCGAGGUAUUUGGAUCAAUACCUAUUCGGUGGAUCUUUUCUUUUCUCUGCCAGGAACCAGAUUUGAACUGGUGACACGAGGAUUUUCAGUCCUCUGCUCUACCAACUGAGCUAUCCUGACCUUUUCUUGUGCAUCAUCCUAGUAGAGUAUUUGUAUCUAUGUCAAUUAAAAGGACUNNNNNNNNNNCAUUUGGAUUCCCCUAUUUUGAAAAUCGCAUAUUAAUUUCCUUCAUAUGAGCAGAAAAAUAGGAUGACUCAAAGAAGUUCUCUACCAGGAACUUUGUACCGCGCACAUUACUUAGCACAACUAGGAAAAUAAGAUAAGAUAAAGAUAAGCAAGACUAAAAAAAUAUUCGUCGGAAUAGCGGAAUACAAAUUAGAUGAAUAAAUAUUAUUAAUGAAUAUGUAUCACAAUCCAUCUCGAGGUAUUUGGAUCAAUACCUAUUCGGUGGAUCUUUUUUUUUUUUUUUCUCUGCCAGGAACCAGAUUUGAACUGGUGACACGAGGAUUUUCAGUCCUCUGCUCUACCAACUGAGCUAUCCUGACCUUUUCUUGUGCAUCAUCCUAGUAGAGUAUUUGUAUCUAUGUCAAUUAAAAGGACUAAAAAUUAAUUAAAGUGUUUCAAAUUUAAAAUUUGAAAAUGGGGGGGUAGUCCUAUGCAUUGUGCAUGGUUUACUUAAAUAAAACUUAAAAAUAGAGUGAAUAACCAAGAUUUCUUGCCGAUACUCUAAUAAAAAAGAAAUCUAUUCAAUGAAUAGGAUAAGAUCCAUUGAGUUCUCUUCGCAUUCCUUUGUGAAAGAGUAGAAUGAGAAAGCUAAUGAAUCUUAAACCCAUUGAUAAAAAGAAAAAAAAGAGGAUAAAUAAUAAUAAUAUAGUAUAGUUAGGGAAUAAAAGAGGAUUUGGGGAUAGAGGGACUUGAACCCUCACAACUUAUAAAGUCGACGGAUUUUCCUUUUACUAGAAAUUUCAUUGUUGUCAGUAUUGACAUGUAGAAUGGGACUCUCUCUUUGUCCUCGUCCGAUUAAUCCACUUUUUUAAAGAUCUCGAAAACUUUGAAUUUGAAUUGAAGAAUUUGAUUAUUCAAUAUUCGAUUGGAGUGGANNNNNNNNNNAAAAAAAGAGGAUAAAUAAUAAUAAUAUAGUAUAGUUAGGGAAUAAAAGAGGAUUUGGGGAUAGAGGGACUUGAACCCUCACAACUUAUAAAGUCGACGGAUUUUCCUUUUACUAGAAAUUUCAUUGUUGUCAGUAUUGACAUGUAGAAUGGGACUCUCUCUUUGUCCUCGUCUGAUUAAUCCACUUUUUUAAAGAUCUCGAAAACUUUGAAUUUGAUUAUUCAAUAUUCGAUUGGAGUGGAUUCACAAUAAUGAAAAAAAUAUUAUGAUAUGAGUUUUUUAUUUCAUAAUCAUUAUCAUUUCUAAUUUCAUUUAAAAAAAAGAUAAAGAACCUAUAUUAUAAUUAUAAUAUAAUAUGAGUUCUGUGAUUAAUCGUUUGCUAUGUCAGUAUCUAUACGUGUUUAUUAAAUGUAUAAGGUAUAAAACCCCUCUUUCUCUAAUUUAGAAUUAGAAGGAAUUCCACUAACAACACAACGUAAUUAAAUCGAUUUAUUAGAACAGCUUCCAUUGAGUCUCUGCACCUAUCCUUUUCCUUUGUAUUCUAGUUCGAGAACCCCUUGUUUUCUCAAAACACGGAUUUGGCUCAGGAUUGCCCUUUUUUAAUUCCAGGGUUUCUCUGAAUUUGGAAGUUACCACUUAGCAGGUUUCCAUACCAAGGCUCAAUACAAUCAAGUCCGUAGCGUCUACCGAUUUUGCCAUAUCCCCAUUUCCCUCUUCUUUGAGACCAGGAUUCCUUGUGUAAUUUCAUCCAUCUCUUAGUUUUUUUUUGAAUCAUUGAGUUCAUCGCUCAACGUAGUCUAGCAGUUCAGUUCGACUCUAUUUGAGAGACCUCGCUUGCCUAUUGCAAUUCAGAAUUGAAUUGAUUCUAUCCUUGAUGUAUUUGCAAUUCAAUCCGAAUCAAUAUAUCCAAAAGCUUUUACCUCCCCCACCUCCCGUCUUACUUUUUUAUAGUAUUCAAAAUUAUACUAUAACGCUUGAUAUUUAUUCUUUUUUUCUAAUCAGAAUUGGCAAUUUUAAUUACUCUGACUCUAUAUUCCCCUUAGUGAAAUAUUAAUCCUCAAAUUAUUAACAAAUAAUAAAGUCUAUAAUAAUCGAAUGAAAAUACCGAUAAAUUCUAUAAUUUUAUUUUUUAAUAUCCUAUAGUUAAGCAUAUCAAGCUAACUUUAUCUUUAAGAAGUUUUAGUAUUUUUUUACUUUUAUAAGUAUAACUUCAAAUUUAGAACUAGUUAAUAGGUAAGAUUAAUAACUAAUAUCUGAGAUUUUACGCAUUUCCUAUACUAUACCUAUUUCUAUUUGUUACACUAUUUCCGUUAUGUAAGCCCACUUAGCUCAGAGGUUAGAGCAUCGCAUUUGUAAUGCGAGGGUCAUCGGUUCAAAUCCGAUAGUCGGCUUUUUUUCUCUAUCGAUGUUCUACGAACAAGAAUCUCUUUUCUCCCGAAUUAAAUGGAGAAUCCAGGAUCUUUUAUGUUUUUUACCUUACAAUUUUGCUAGAUACAAACAAUAAAAUAAAUAAUAUAUAUACAAAAAUAAAGAUUUUGAUGAAAUUCCAUUUUUUGGGGUACUUUAGUUGAUUUUACUCUGUUUAUCCUGUAGUUUAAUUCAGUUUUAAUUUCGAUGUAUUCUGUAAUGUAAAUACAAUGAAAUUAAUUGUGUAAAAUGAAAUUUCAAUAAAAUAAAAAAAGGAGUCUUCAUGUCCCGUUAUCGAGGACCUCGUUUAAAAAAAUACGCCGUGUGGGAGCUUUACCAGGACUCACAAGAAAAACACAUAAAUCCGGAAGUAAUCUUAAAAAAAAUUCAAUUCUUGGAAAAAGGAGCAAUAUCGUAUUCGUCUUCAAGAAAAACAGAAAUUGCGUUUUCAUUAUGGUCUGACAGAACGACAAUUACUUAGAUAUGUACAUAUCGCUGGAAAAGCAAAGAGGUCAACAGGCCAGGUUUUACUACAAUUACUUGAAAUGCGUUUGGAUAAUAUCCUUUUUCGAUUGGGUAUGGCUUCAACCAUUCCUGGGGCCCU